ACCUGGGUGGCUCAGUCGGUUAAGCAUCCGACUUCAGCUCGGGUCAUGAUCUCGCGGUUCGUGGGUUCGAGCCCCGCGUCGGGCU
rnacentral:tRNA from 1 species